UGGCCUUAGCCAUAUAACAGUCGAAUUGAGGGAAAAGGAAGGAACGCUAUAACAGUUAGGGCAAUUUCAGAAAAAAGGAAAGAAGAAAGAGCAGGAGCUGGCAGAGAAGGAGUACAUCUCGACAAAGAUGAAGCAGGAGGUGGCGAUUCGGGGGUGGAAGCCGUGCGCUCCAAUAGGCUUAGGGACCAAGAAAUUUUCGUGGAAGGCAAGGUGCUCUGCCUAUAAAACUCGGUCUCUCCUCCCUUCUUCUUCCUUACUGCCGAGCCCAGUCUUCUUCUUCUUCUCCCCUCACCGUCCGGUCAAACCACCUUACCCUUUUGCCGAAAUUAUCUAACAUUUGCCCUGUUCUUUCCGGCCGAAUCCAAGCUACCUAGUCUAUACCAAGUGUGAAUUUGAUUAGCAAGCAGAUAAAAAGGUAUAACAAUCAAAUCUUUUCUAUUUCAGUUAAAUAAGAUCAAUUAGUGAAUUGAUCUUUCCCACUUGGGUUUGGGGUCUUUCCCACUUAACCAAUUCACUAAUUAGUGAAUUCACUUCAACUCAAAAGCUCGGGAGUUUAAAUAUUGCUUUACUGACUACAAGUGGUUAAGUAUAAAAAACCCCAAACUCAGAUGGUGAUAUGAAAUUUACUCUUUUUUUUAAUUCGUAAAAACAGUUAGGAUUGGUAAGUUUAUCAGAGUUAUAAUUUUGGUUAAUGAAGUUAAGAUUGUUAGUUUUGAACAGAUAUCAAUUAAUUGAGUCAUUUACUGUGAUUGAAUAAUGAAGUUAAAUUUGUUGCUAAAACAGUUAAUUGUUAUCAAACUGGGAUAAUGAAAACCAUUCAUGAUUGUGGUACUGUGGUUGGAAACUGACAUGAAAUUUUAACUGGAAAACAGAUAACAGUAUGUGGCUGAGCAUUGGCAUACAUCAAUUAUGUAUGUUUUGUUAAUAUAUGGAGUUAGAAAGUUUCAUGUAUAUAUUUUUUUGCAAAUGAGUAAGGUUGGUAAGUUGGGUUAGUCUUAAAAGUCAGUUUGUAUGUAUAUAAUUUUGAAAAUCAGUUGGUGUAUUAUAUUAGGAUCAUGCCCAUAUUAUAUGUUGGAGUUAUGAUUGAUUGUGAUAGAAGACUUUCAUGCUCCAUAUAUUAAAGUUUGCAAGUUGGAGUUUUUGAAAUCAAUUAGUUUACUAAAUAGUUGGUUAUAUAUAUAUGAAUUGAUAGUGCAAAUGGUUGCUAUGGACCAGAAAUAGAGCAUAGGGGAUAGGUUUGGUUGUGAGGAGAUAUAAGGAGGUUAAAAUGGGAUUAUAGCACAAACAAAUGGCUAUGGUACAAAGGUUUCAAAACAACGCACACAUAGUGCUUGACAAAAUUACUUAAAUGGACUGUUUUGAUUAAAAACCAAGUAUUAGGUAAAACUAAGGCUUGGGCUAGAUCUAUGUAUGUUAUAUGAUGAUAAGUAAAGAGUUUGGGCGUACUAAGUUAGAACGAAAAACAAUUUUAAGUGAAAAUGGAAAAUCAAAAGUUAAUAUAUUGAGCUUAAUAUUUUAAAAUAGUAGUUUUAUACGUUAUGUUUAUCAUGUUCAAAAAGGGAUGUAAUCCAAGAUAGGAGUUAGAAAUUUAAAUUGAUCAAAUUUACAUUGCUGUGCUGUAGCAGCAAUGGGCUGUAGCAGCACGCUGCAGGGUAGCAUGUGGGGGCCUCCUUUGCGCUCUCAAAUGAUGUGUUAUUUACCCAAAAUGUAUGGUUGUUAUUUUAUAUAAUUGGCAGGUAUACCACCUAUAUAAUACCCAAAAUUCAGUGUAAAUGGGCUAAUAUAUUGCAAGUUAUAAAUUAGUGAAAUAAG
rnacentral:lncRNA from 1 species